rnacentral:misc_RNA from 1 species
CGUUAGCAGCACUGCAAGACAUACAUAACCUAUUUAUAUUUAUUUAUGUUUAUGUUAAUUAUAUAUUGUCGAGUCUAGUUAGUGCUUGGAAUACUUUUAUUGUUAUAAAACGGUAGAAAAACUCAAGAUGUCAACGGCACAAUCAAAUAUUGGAAAUGCUGAAGAUGAAGCCUUGAAACGAAAAGAAAAAUUGAUAGCUCUUAAAAGAAAACGGGAAAUAAGAUCUGAAAGUAAUUCUGAAAACUCAAAUGCAGAUGGUUUAUCUUUACCAAAACCUCAUUUCAGGAGUUACAAACCGACACAUGAAACAUUGCAAGAAUUUGUUUUGGAUCCCACUAAACCUGGAGAUGUUACAUCAGAGGUAAAAGAUCAACUAGAAUCCGCAAAAUCUGAAAUUGUUAUUGAUCAGCUUGAUGUUACCUCAUUAGCACCUAGAAAACCAGAUUGGGAUCUAAAAAGGGACGUAGCCAAAAAGUUGGAGAAGCUGGAACAUAAGACUCAAAAAGCUAUUGCUGAACUCAUCAGAGAGCGGUUGAGAGCAUCAAGUGGAGAAGGAGAUUUAGCAGCUAUGGUCAACACUGUGAACACUACAUCUGAAGUUGAGGAGUGACUUCAGUGGUUGAAGGAUGUUAAGACAUUCAGUGCGAUAGAUGCCAAGCGGCGGCAUCCGGCCAUUACACUUUGUAUAUCUCUCUCAUUGGGAUUUUGUAAAAAAUAGGCAUUGCCGUAAAUAAAUAAAUGUGUUAGUAUUAAGUCCGCAAUAGACAGAUGUGGUUAUAUUGCAGUCUGCACAUUUAAAUAGCAUUGUUCAAGAAGGUUUUUGGGUGUUUCAAAAUUUCGUGAAUUUUAAAACUUUUCAAGACAACUUUAAAUGUGAUUGAAGUAGACAAUAAUCAGGCCUGUUGUUUUGUGGCGAAGUAGACUAUUGUUCCGGCAGUACAUCACAAAUAAGUGAGUGUGAAUGUAAGACGACCAGAUAAAACCAGGUCAAGCAUUCACAGAAAGCAAAUGCGAAACCUUUAGAUGUUUGGUGCAUCAUAGCAAAAGAUGGAAGCGUAUGUACAUGUCAUGCACAGAUAUAGAAGCUGUGUGGCCAAUGCCAUCCAUGACACAGACGUUCCCAAUUGUACCAGUAGGUACAUGAAAUGGAUUGUGAGUUUAUUAA